AGAGCGAACGCUGGCGGCAGGCCUAACACAUGCAAGUCGAACGGACCCUUCGGGGUUAGUGGCGGACGGGUGAGUAACACGUGGGAACGUGCCUUUUGGUUCGGAAUAGCUCCUGGAAACGGGUGGUAAUGCCGAAUGUGCCCUUCGGGGGAAAGAUUUAUCGCCAUUAGAGCGGCCCGCGUCUGAUUAGCUAGUUGGUGAGGUAAAGGCUCACCAAGGCUACGAUCAGUAGCUGGUCUGAGAGGAUGACCAGCCACAUUGGGACUGAGACACGGCCCAAACUCCUACGGGAGCAGCAGUGGGGAAUCUGCGCAAUGGGCGAAAGCCUGACGCAGCCAUG
rnacentral:rRNA from 1 species